GAUGAACGCUGGCGGCGUGCCUAAUACAUGCAAGUCGAGCGAACGGACGAGAAGCUUGCUUUUCUGAUGUUAGCGGCGGACGGGUGAGUAACACGUGGAUAACCUACCUAUAAGACUGGGAUAACUUCGGGAAACCGGAGCUAAUACCGGAUAAUAUUUUGAACCGCAUGGUUCAAAAGUGAAAGACGGUCUUGCUGUCGCUUAUAGAUGGAUCCGCGCUGCAUUAGCUAGUUGGUAAGGUAACGGCUUACCAAGGCAACGAUGCAUAGCCGACCUGAGCGGGUGAUCGGCCACACUGGAACUGAGACACGGUCCAGACUCCUACGGGAGGCAGCAGUAGGGAAUCUUCCGCAAUGGGCGAAAGCCUGACGGAGCAACGCCGCGUGAGUGAUGAAGGUCUUCGGAUCGUAAAACUCUGUUAUUAGGGAAGAACAUAUGUGUAAGUAACUGUGCACAUCUUGACGGUACCUAAUCAGAAAGCCACGGCUAACUACGUG
rnacentral:rRNA from 1 species